AUCAUAUUGGUAAGGUUAACUGUACAUUUUAAAGUUUUCCUAUGUUUAAGCAAUGCUUUAUCAUUAGUUUUUAGAUGUAUAUGUGACCAGCUAUCAGAUGAUAGAGAUAAAGGUCCAUAGGAUCAGCAAAGAAAUCGUUUGAGACCAUCAGUGUGAUUUUUUCCUUCUUAUCCUAGAGAUACAAUCUGCAUUUUUUCCGAUUAGACUGGAAUAUUUGAGCUCAUACAUAUAUUGUGGAAACUAAAAAUUCUCCUUCGUGUAACUGUGCUUUACUUGAGGUUGUUUCUCGAGUGAUGAUAGGGAGAAUUUCUGGUUUCUAUAUUGAAAACUUGAUGGUGUGAUGUAGCUGUUGGGCUGACGCUGUCAGUUGAAUUCCCUUUAGGGGUGCGGUACACUCUUCAACCAACAUGACGCCAAUUGCUUCUGGAUUUUACUUCAGAAGUACAAAACUGAUAAAAUGUCGUUAGUCCCAAUGAUAAUUUCAAAAAAGGUUGUUUAAUUUUCAUCGUUGAUGGAAGUUGAAGAUUGUUUUUAGCUUUUGCAUUUAUUUUUUCUUGUCGAAAAAGCCAUGUGUAUGGAUUGGUACCACCACAUCCUAAUUUUUUUGGGCAGAAGUUCCCCGGCACAUUCUAACUUUUGGAUUUGUUUGUCCCAACCAAAAUUAGAAGCUUGUUAUGCGUAAUUGUAUUAUUAAUUACAUAUGAAUCUUCAUGAAGAGUCCCAAGAAUCGAAAUCAAACCCCAUGUCAUUGUCAUAUUGUGGCGAUGAUAAAGAGGGAGAGAUGGUCGGAAAUGGGUGUCCCUUUCCUAUAGUCUCUCUCUGGUUGGAUCGUUCAUCGUUUUGUAGAUCACCUUUGGGACGGGCGUCUCUCUCUCUUGCCCCCUUCUUUUCCAACCAAGCCGCGAGAGAGAGACAGAGAGCGAUGCUGGAGUUCUUCCUUCUGGGGUGCACCGGGGUGGUGGUGUUCCUCCACGGUGCCAAUUUCCUCUUCCACUACAUCUCCAACCACGUCGCUGUCCGUUCGCUCAGUUUCCUCGGUUUUGUUGGAUGGUAGCUGAUGCCGUUUGGAUGGUAGCUGAUGCCGUUCGGCACUUUGGAAGAGGCUGCUUGCCUGAUGUGGACUGUACAGUGCUUUAGAAUAAAAAGAAGGGAAUUAGUGGAAUAAGUCGAUGCUGAUGCCGAUGCCGAUGCCAAUUUUAGGUUUUGGCAUAACUUUGUACAUCUUUUAACUGAUAUUUACUAUAAUAAGUCUCUCUCUCUCUUUCUCUC